UCACCAUUUUCUACUACCCCAGGCAAAGGUAUCCUUACAGAUCUAAUUCCUGGAGCCAAAGGUGUUCCUUCAUCAAGCCUGUAAGACAAAUUCUUUUUAUGUGCCUCCAUCGCCUGUCCAGCUGCUCUCUUUUCUGCAACCUUUUGUAACCGGGCAUUAUGCACCACCCGCCAAAUUUUUCCUAACCUUUUUGCUGUCUUAUCAUCAUUUAACGUUGCCUCCCAUAGCUUAUCACCGAGUUUACGCCAUUCUGAUAGUUCAUGUACUGUAUGAGGAACAACAAAACAACCCUUCGCAUACCCCCAUGCUAACAAUCCUGGUAAAUCCUUCUUUAAAUCAAUCCCCUGGACAUUGCACUGCUGCAGAGUAUGGGUAAAUAAAUCAUAUGCCACUUGCCUAUCCAUUUUUGUCGUCGGCGCCGUUGCAGCUCUCCAGGCUCCGGUGGCACGUAUGGCCCAAAACCACCUUUAUGGCUUUUGGGGGUGUCCGUCGGUUCGCCGAUUUGACACCGUCCCGGCUGCAAUCAGGACCCAACUCCUACUCUCUCCGCCGUGGUGCGCGUUCCUCCUCCGUUUUCUUUUGCAAACAGGAGGCCAGCGUCGGGGUCACCAUUUGUCGAAGAGAGGGAGACUGCGACACCAGUUGGUCAUCAGCAAGACUCGUUUAUUAAUAGAAACAGCUCUAUUCUUAUACACUUUUUAAUUAGCCUCAUACAUAUUCUAAA
rnacentral:lncRNA from 12 species